UAGGGAAUCUUCCGCAAUGGACGCAAGUCUGACGGAGCAACGCCGCGUGAGUGAAGAAGGAUCUCGGUUCGUAAAACUCUGUUGUUAGAGAAGAACAGCGCAUAGAGUAACUGUUAUGCGUGUGACGGUAUCUAACCAGAAAGCCACGGCUAACUACGUGCCAGCAGCCGCGGUAAUACGUAGGUGGCAAGCGUUGUCCGGAUUUAUUGGGCGUAAAGCGAGCGCAGGCGGUCAAUUAAGUCUGAUGUGAAAGCCCCCGGCUCAACCGGGGAGGGUCAUUGGAAACUGGUUGACUUGAGUGCAGAAGAGGAGAGUGGAAUUCCAUGUGUAGCGGUGAAAUGCGUAGAUAUAUGGAGGAACACCAGUGGCGAAGGCGACUAUCUGGUCUGUAACUGACGCUGAGGCUCGAAAGCGUGGGUAGCAAACAGG
rnacentral:rRNA from 1 species